CACGUAUGAACAAAUGUGCUUUCUUGAACCCUUAUAAUAUUCUAGGAGAGGCAUGCCAGAAAAACCCAGAGGGUGUCGUUAGUUAUCUUGUUGAUUCCAUUCGUUUGCACCACGGAAAAUUGUUUCUCAUUGCACCAUAUUUGCAAAAUAAGCAUUGGGUGCUCUUGGUGAUUUCCUUUCGCAAUCGUGUUGUCUAUAUUUUGGAUUCUCUUAAGGAUCGUAUUGAAAAGUCUGCCGACUACCAUUACCUGCUCAAAAAACAUGUGGACAUUGCAACCAACAACUUGGUGGUUUAGAGAGCGGACAUUAUGUUAUGCGCUGGAUGUUUGAUUUCUUGACGACAAGACAACAUGGAUUUCCAAGUAAAGUAAGUACUUUUUUAAUAUUUGUUGAUUUUUUUUAUUGCAACAAAAUAUUUGGUUUGUUAAUGAAUAUGUUUAAUUUUACAUUUAAUAUAGUCCGGUAGCAUUUGGGAUGACAAAAGUCCCUUUGAAGAAAAGAUGUUGGUUGCAACUGUUGCUAUCUGGUCUAGAGAGUUUUUGAAUAACUUUAUGAAUGAUGUGGUCCUAUAAAAAACAUAUAUGGUUAGUUAAUGAAUUCCAAAACUUCCUAAUUUUGGUUUAAUUAUUUUUGUUGGAGUUCUUACAUUUUUACUUUCAUUUGUUUAUUUUUCAGGGAAUUUAGAAGAAACUCACUACAAUUGAUUUUUUGGACAAUCCCUAUGCCAAGUCAUGACAAAUGUUUUUUUUUUCUUUUUUUAUUUGUAAUUUUUCAUGCAAGUUGUAUGAUGUAUGAAAUUACCAAAUCCAUGAUUUCUUUUGCUACUUAGACAAUUGUCUUUGUUUGAUUAUAUUUUAAUCAAUGACUAUUAUGGUUUAUUUAACAUUUCCACAUAAAAACAUUGUUUAUUUUUACAGUAUGUGUUAUAAAUUGAUAGUUUAUAAGUAUUGUACUGUUAUUUUUAUAAAAUGAUAUUAAAAAUAUAUAAGAGUGUUAAAAGGAACCGGUUGCUUAUUUAGAAACCAGGUUCUAAACCUAUUGUGUAAAAAAGGGUAAAAGUCUAUUAUGACCCGGUUGUUUGUAUGAACCGGUAUAUAUUUUGUUUUCAUAUGCCCCGGUUAUAUUGGAGAAAACCGGUUCUAAUAUUCCU